rnacentral:other from 1 species
AUUUUCAGACGUAGGGUACAGAGGUAAGAUGUUCUAUCUUUCAGACCUUUUACUUCACGUAAUCGGAUUUGGCUGAAUGUUAGCCGCCCCGUUCAUUCAGGUGAACGGGGCGUUUUUUA